rnacentral:rRNA from 1 species
CCUACGUGUGGCUGCAGUGAGGAAUAUUGGUCAAUGGGCGAGAGCCUGAACCAGCCAAGUCGCGUGAGGGAGUACUGCCCUAUGGGUUGUAAACCUCUUUUGUCGGGGAGCAACAGCCGGACGGUUCCGGCUGUUAGAGUACCCGAAGAAAAAGCGUCGGCUAACGCUGUGCCAGAAGCCGCGGCCAUACGGAGGCUGAGAGCGUUAUCCGGAUUUAUGAGGAUUUAAGGGUGCGCAGGCGGGUUUUUAAGUCAGCGGUCAAAUCGUGGGGCUCAACCCCAUCCAGCCGUUGAAACUGGGGAUCUGGAGUGUGCGAGAGGUAAGUGGAAUGCGUGGUGUAGCGGUGAAAUGCAUAGAUAUCACGCAGAACCCCGAUUGCGAAGGCAGCAUACCGGUGCACAACUGACGCUGAGGCGCGAAAGCGUGGGUAUCGAACAGGAUUAGAUACCCCUGUAGUC